rnacentral:rRNA from 1 species
UACGUAGGUGGCAAGCGUUGUCCGGAAUUACUGGGUGUAAAGGGAGCGUAGGCGGGAAGGCAAGUCAGAUGUGAAAUCCACAGGCUUAACCUGUGGCGUGCAUUUGAAACUGUUUUUCUUGAGUGAAGUAGAGGCAGGCGGAAUUCCGAGUGUAGCGGUGAAAUGCGUAGAUAUUCGGAGGAACACCAGUGGCGAAGGCGGCCUGCUGGGCUUUUACUGACGCUGAGGCUCGAAAGCAUGGGUAGCAAACAGG